rnacentral:rRNA from 1 species
UACGUAGGGCGCAAGCGUUUGUUCGGAAUUACUGGGCGUAAAGCGCACGUAGGCGGCUUUGCAAGUCAGAGGUGAAAGCCCGGGGCUCAACCCCGGAAUUGCCUUUGAGACUGCAUCGCUAGAAUUGUGGAGAGGUAAGUGGAAUUCCGAGUGUAGAGGUGAAAUUCGUAGAUAUUCGGAAGAACACCAGUGGCGAAGGCGACUUACUGGACACAUAUUGACGCUGAGGUGCGAAAAGCGUGGGGGAGCAA